rnacentral:misc_RNA from 1 species
UUAAGUUCAGCGGGUAUCCCCACCUGAUUUGAGGUCAGACGACAUGAAAUUGCCCGAAGACGAUUAGAAGCAUCCUUACACGCGAGACGCGGAACGGCGCCAGAAGUAGACUUACCACACCGUUGUGACCGAUCUCGCGACGGAACGCUAAUGCAUUUCAAGACGAGCAGACCUUUGAAAGGACUGCAACAUCCAAAUCC